UGCAUCGGUGUCACUCACUCCAAAGCCAUAAGCAAAGCAGAAGGCAGGGAGCUUCAGCUCAAGCCUUCAGACACCAGAUAUUCUUCUCUCCCCUGUAUGGUUCUACAGGCUGAGGAGCGAUGCGGGCUGAAAUCGCCAUCUGACAGCUUUUACUCGAACAGCUCGGGAUGAAGUCGGACUCGGAAGUGUUUGCGAUGCUGUCUGGAGAAGACCUCUUGGAUUUCCAGGCAGUAAUUAAUACUUAACUUUCCGCUCCGUCACGGCAGCUGUGCCACGGGGUCAGCAGGAGUCACCGUGUUAGUAAAAGAUAAUUGCACUGCACGUGCAGCCCCGAGCUGAGCGCCCUACAGUAACAGGGGAAGCUUUCCUGGCCUCCUGCGAAGGCCCUCAGGUGAGGGAGGUCUUGCCUGGGAGGUGGAAGAGCCCUAUCCCCGCCACGGCACCAGGAGGGGAUGAGGAGUGAGGAAGACAUCCAGCCCGACAUUGGUGUACCUGCGGAGGGCGGUGGGGCUGGAGGCUUUCCCGCAGCAGCCCAGCCGAAAUACAGCCGCCCUCCGCGGCUUAAUCGAACGGUCAAUCGCCUGCAUGAGCCUUAUCUCGCAUUUGAAUGCGUCUGGCUCCGGUUUUGGGGAAGGUCCCUUCUGUGCUGGGGUUUUCCCCCCCGGGGAGCCAUUGUCAUGCGGGGCUCCGCCGCCCACCCCGCGGGGCGGGAGCGGAGUCACCACCCGACUCAGGGCCGCUAACACGUGUGCCUCGUCAGCGAGAGACGCUCUAAUUUAACAGCCAACAGCCUGCAGCCGAACGGCGCUACGGAAACCCGAUGUGAGGAUCAUUCGGAGGCUCCGAAGCGCUGAGUCAGCGGCGGAGCCCCAUCUCCGAGGCUCGGAUGCGUUUCUUUCAGACUGCCUGAAUAAAGCGGCGUUUGGAGGGAGGGUGGAGGGGAGAAGGGAGUAAAAAAAACACCUAACGGGAGGGAAGGAGGUCUUCAGGCUUUAGCCAAAGAUGUUCUCUCUCGGGCACCUCUUGCUCCGAUGGUUUGAUACCGGCACGUGUGGAACAAAGCCUCGAGAGUAAGACCUAACUGGGGGCUACUGGGCAGUCCCUGUUUUGGGGGAUGCUUUUCCUCUCCCCGUAGAUCCGAAAGCGAAUUAAUAGUAAUAAUAAUAAUAAUUCCAAUGGUUACGCCGCUGACGGGUUAAGGGAAGGCUGCCCCCGGGACCCC
ensembl:lncRNA